AUGACAGAGAUAUGUCUAUACCUGGAAUGCUUCGACGAGGAGAGGAAACUGUACACGUCAGAAUCACUGAACGACCUCCACAAGAUGAACGUGUGCGCCGACCCCAAGGACCUGCUGAAACUCACAGUUGUGACAACAUCUUGGAUGGGUGAGUUAGCAGGCGGUAGUGAGGUGGAGAGGACUUACCUGGGGGAGAUGAGACCGUGGAAGACUCUCCUUCAACAGUACCUGGACCUCAGCCAGAGCCGCUGCUCAUAGUGAGCAAAAUAUAUUGAAUUAUGAAUUCAAUAUAUUUUGCUAUAGGAGGGAGUACCCCACUAUCCACAUCGACCGGACCGCAGUGGGGAAGGUGGAAAGCUUCAAGUUCCUCAGGGUA
rnacentral:lncRNA from 1 species